rnacentral:rRNA from 1 species
GAUGAACGCUGGCGGCGUGCCUAAUACAUGCAAGUCGAGCGAACGGACGAGAAGCUUGCUUCUCUGAUGUUAGCGGCGGACGGGUGAGUAACACGUGGAUAACCUACCUAUAAGACUGGGAUAACUUCGGGAAACCGGAGCUAAUACCGGAUAAUAUUUUGAACCGCAUGGUUCAAAAGUGAAAGACGGUCUUGCUGUCACUAAUAGAUGGAUCCGCGCUGCAUUAGCUAGUUGGUAAGGUAACGGCUUACCAAGGCAACGAUGCAUAGCCGACCUGAGAGGGUGAUCCGCCACACUGGAACUGAGACACGGUCCAGACUCCGACGGGAGGCAGCAGUAGGGAAUCUUCCGCAAUGGGCGAAAGCCUGACGGAGCAACGCCGCGUGAGUGAUGAAGGUCUUCGGAUCGUAAAACUCUGUUAUUAGGGAAGAACAUAUGUGUAAGUAACUGUGCACAUCUUGACGGUACCUAAUCAGAAAGCCACGGCUAACUACGUG